UACAGGGGGUGCAAACGUUGCUCGGAAUCAUUGGGCGUAAAGCACACGUAGGCGGUUCGUUAUGUCGGAUGUGAAAGCCCUUGGCUUAACCGAGGAAGUGCAUCCGAAACUGGCGAGCUAGAGUACGAAAGAGGAUCGCGGAAUUCCCGGUGUAGAGGUGAAAUUCGUAGAUAUCGGGAGGAACACCGGUGGCGAAGGCGGCGAUCUGGGUCGAUACUGACGCUGAGGUGCGAAAGCGUGGGGAGCAAACAGG
rnacentral:rRNA from 1 species